rfam:Papilio xuthus contig2661, whole genome shotgun sequence.
AAAAAAGUUCUUUUUAGAACUAACACUAGUUUCUAUGGAUUUUAGU